rnacentral:rRNA from 1 species
CAGCCGCCACGGUAAUACGUAGGUGGCAAGCGUCGUCCGGAAUUAUUGGGCGUAAAGGGCUCGCAGGCGGUUUCUUAAGUCUGAUGUGAGAGCCCCCGGCUCAACCGGGGAGGGUCAUUGGAAACUGGGAAACUUGAGUGCAGAAGAGGAGAGUGGAAUUCCACGUGUAGCGGUGAAAUGCGUAGAGAUGUGGAGGAACACCAGUGGCGAAGGCGACUCUCUGGUCUGUAACUGACGCUGAGGAGCGAAAGCGUGGGGAGCGAACAGGAUUAGAUACCCCAGUAGUCCCUGUCUCUUAUAC